UGCAUGUGUUCAGACAUGCCUAAAGCUACUAUCCAGCGGUGGGCUGUCACAUACAGCUAGCCAGUAACAGCUGUCAGUAAGAGGAACAGUAACGCUGCGACUAAAUGUGUCCUGGCGUAGAUGAACUUUAGUCAAGGUGGCUGGCGUUAACUUUUCGUAUGCCACACACUUUAAGGAUUUUAAUUUGGAUCACUUCAUGGCCAAAGACAAUCCUGCGGUUUUCCUGAUUUUCAAAGCGCCGGUGCAGACUCCGUUCGGGGCUGAAGUGCCACCCAUCUCCCUGCCUCUCUGAACCUGGAAGAGCAACGCCGCCUUGUGACGAGCAUCCAACAUGACAGGCAUCUGCUGAUGGCUACAUUCCUUGA
rnacentral:lncRNA from 1 species